AGAAGCUGGAAUUCUAUCUCCACAUCCAUUUUGCCAUCUAUCUUUUGAAGUACUCUGUCGGGAGACCGGUGGGUUUACCUGGUGAUGCGGGUGGGUCUGAGUGGUGUGUUAAGGAACAGUGUUUGCUGUCAUUGUCUGCAUGGGCAUGGAUUUCAUAUGUGGCUGUGCUGUCAUAAUGCUUACAAGGUACAGGCAUCCUCUGUCCUGGACAAAGAGGAGCUGGAUGAAAAGAUUUCCUACUUCAAAACCUACCUGGAGACCAAAGGGGCAGCCUUGAGCCAGACCACAGAGUUUCUUCCUUUCUAUGCCCUUCCUUUUGUUCCCAACCCUAUGGUGCACCCCUCAUUUAAAGAACUCUUCCAGGAUUCUUGGACUCCAGAGUUAAAGAUGAAGUUGGAAAAGUUUCUAGCUUUAAUAUUUAAAGCCAGCAACACGCCAAAGCUUUUCACAAUAUAUAAGGAGAAUGGACAAAGUAACAAAGAAAUGUUGCAGCAGCUCCACCAGCAGCUGGUUGAAGCUGAACGUAGGUCAAUGACAUACCUCAAACGGUACAAUAAGAUCCAGGCCGACUACCACAAUCUCAUUGGAGUCACAGCAGAGCUGGUGGAUUCU
rnacentral:sRNA from 1 species